UAAUAAGUGUUUUAUGGCACUUUUUAAAUCCAUAUCCACCUUGUGUGCAAUGUCAGUCGGUUUUCUUUUUCGUCAAGGAAAAAAGGAUCGACCAAACAUCAACUUAUUCUAAUUGAACUUUUGUCUGAAAACUAUUAUGAAUAAACUAAUUCAAAAUA
rnacentral:misc_RNA from 1 species